CAAGACCUAUCGCUUUCGGAGUGGCCGAUAUCAGAUUAGCUGGUUGGUGAGGUAAAGGCUCACCAAGGCGACGAUCUGUAGCUGGUCUGAGAGGACGACCAGCCACACUGGGACUGAGACACGGCCCAGACUCCUACGGGAGGCAGCAGUGGGGAAUUUUGGACAAUGGGGGCAACCCUGAUCCAGCCAUGCCGCGUGAGUGAAGAAGGCCUUCGGGUUGUAAAGCUCUUUCAGCCGGAAAGAAAUCGUGCAGAUUAAUACUCUGCAUGGAUGACGGUACCGGAAGAAGAAGCACCGGCUAACUACGUGCCAGCAGCCGCGGUAAUACGUAGGGUGCGAGCGUUAAUCGGAAUUACUGGGCGUAAAGCGUGCGCAGGCUGUUUUGUAAGACAGACGUGAAAUCCCCGGGCUUAACCUGGGAACU
rnacentral:rRNA from 1 species